rnacentral:rRNA from 1 species
GAUGAACGCUGGCGGCGCGCCUAACACAUGCAAGUCGAACGGCACCCCUCUCCGGAGGGAAGCGAGCGGCGAACGGCUGAGUAACACGUGGAGAACCUGCCCCCUCCCCCGGGAUAGCCGCCCGAAAGGACGGGUAAUACCGGAUACCCCCGGGGUGCCGCAUGGCACCCCGGCUAAAGCCCCGACGGGAGGGGAUGGCUCCGCGGCCCAUCAGGUAGACGGCGGGGUGACGGCCCACCGUGCCGACAACGGGUAGCCGGGUUGAGAGACCGACCGGCCAGAUUGGGACUGAGACACGGCCCAGACUCCUACGGGAGGCAGCAGUGGGGAAUCUUGCGCAAUGGGGGGAACCCUGACGCAGCGACGCCGCGUGCGGGACGGAGGCCUUCGGGUCGUAAACCGCUUUCAGCAGGGAAGAGUCAAGACUGUACCUGCAGAAGAAGCCCCGGCUAACUACGUGCCAGCAGCCGCGGUAAUACGUAGGGGGCGAGCGUUAUCCGGAUUCAUUGGGCGUAAAGCGCGCGUAGGCGGCCCGGCAGGCCGGGUUCCAAAACCCGGGGGGCUCAACCCCCCGAAGCCCCCGGAACCUCCGCGGCUUGGGUCCGGUAGGGGAGGGUGGAACACCCGGUGUAGCGGUGGAAUGCGCAGAUAUCGGGUGGAACGCUCGUGGCGAAGGCGGGUUCCUGGACAUUAACUGACGCUGAGGCACGAAGGCCAGGGGAGCGAAAGGGAUUAGAUACCCCUGUAGUCCUGGCAGUAAACGGUGCACGCUUGGUGUGCGGGGAAUCGACCCCCUGCGUGCCGGAGCUAACGCGUUAAGCGUGCCGCCUGGGGAGUACGGUCGCAAGAUUAAAACUCAAAGAAAUUGACGGGGACCCGCACAAGCGGUGGAGUAUGUGGCUUAAUUCGAUGCAACGCGAAGAACCUUACCUGGGCUUGACAUGUAAUGAACAACAUGUGAAAGCAUGCGACUCUUCGGAGGCGUUACACAGGUGCUGCAUGGCCGUCGUCAGCUCGUGUCGUGAGAUGUUUGGUUAAGUCCAGCAACGAGCGCAACCCCUGUUGCCAGUUACCAGCACGUGAAGGUGGGGACUCUGGCGAGACUGCCCAGAUCAACUGGGAGGAAGGUGGGGACGACGUCAGGUCAGUAUGGCCCUUAUGCCCAGGGCUGCACACGUACUACAAUGCCCAGUACAGAGGGGGCCGAAGCCGCGAGGCGGAGGAAAUCCUGAAAACUGGGCCCAGUUCGGACUGUAGGCUGCAACCCGCCUACACGAAGCCGGAAUCGCUAGUAAUGGCGCAUCAGCUACGGCGCCGUGAAUACGUUCCCGGGUCU